UGGGGAAUAUUGCACAAUGGGCGGAAGCCUGAUGCAGCAACGCCGCGUGCGGGAUGACGGCCUUCGGGUUGUAAACCGCUUUCGCCUGUGACGAAGCGUGAGUGACGGUAAUGGGUAAAGAAGCACCGGCUAACUACGUGCCAGCAGCCGCGGUGAUACGUAGGGUGCGAGCGUUGUCCGGAUUUAUUGGGCGUAAAGGGCUCGUAGGUGGUUGAUCGCGUCGGAAGUGUAAUCUUGGGGCUUAACCCUGAGCGUGCUUUCGAUACGGGUUGACUUGAGGAAGGUAGGGGAGAAUGGAAUUCCUGGUGGAGCGGUGGAAUGCGCAGAUAUCAGGAGGAACACCAGUGGCGAAGGCGGUUCUCUGGGCCUUUCCUGACGCUGAGGAGCGAAAGCGUGGGGAGCGAACAGGCUUAGAUACCCUGGUAGUCCACGCUGUAAACGGUGGGUACUAGGUGUGGGGUCCAUUCCACGGGUUCCGUGCCGUAGCUAACGCUUUAANUACCCCGCCUGGGA
rnacentral:rRNA from 1 species